CCCCCGAUGGUCUAGUUGGUUCAUGGCGUUCGGCUGUAAACCGAAAAGUCACCAGUUCGAUUCUGGUUCGGGGGA
rnacentral:tRNA from 5 species